GGCUGGUCUGAGUGCAGUGGUGUUUACAACUAAUUCAUCACAGCCAGUUACAGAUUCCUUUGUUCCUUCUCGGCUCCCACUGCUUCACUUGACUAGCUUUAA
rnacentral:Y_RNA from 1 species